rnacentral:snRNA from 1 species
AUACUUACCUGGCCGGGGAGAUGCCAUGAUCACGAAGGUGAUUUUCUCAGGGCGAGGCUUAUCCAUUGCACUCUGGAUGUGCCGACUCCUGCAAUUUCCCCAAAUGUAAGAAACCUGACUGUAUAAUUUGUGAUAGUGGGGGGCUGUGUGCUCGCCCCUA